rnacentral:rRNA from 1 species
CGGAGGGUGCAAGCGUUACCCGGAAUCACUGGGCGUAAAGGGCGUGUAGGCGGUUCACUAAGUCUGGUUUUAAAGACCGGGGCUCAAACCCCGGGGAGUGGACUGGAGACUGGUGGACUAGACCUCUGGAGAGGCAAUCGGAAUUCCUGGUGUAGCGGUGGAAUGCGUAGAUACCAGGAGGAACACCAACGGCGAAGGCAGAUUGCUGGACAGAAGGUGACGCUGAGGCGCGAAAGUGUGGGGAGCGAACCGGAUU